GACGGGGCCCGCACAAGCGGUGGAGCAUGUUGUUUAAUACGUCACUAACCGUAGAACCUUACCAGGGCUUGACAUCCGACGCCCGCCUGUGAAAGCAGGUUUUCCCCGCAAGGGGACGUCGAGACAGGUGUUGCAUGGCUGUCGUCAGCUCGUGUCGUGAGAUGUUGGGUUAAGUCCCGCAACGAGCGCAACCCUCACCCCAUGUUGCCAGCGGGUAAAGCCGGGAACUCUUGGGGAACUGCCCGGGUAACCGGGAGGAAGUGGGGAUGACGUCAAGUCAGCAUGGCCCUUACGCCCUGGGCUACAAACAUGCUACAAUGGACGGUAGACAAAGGGAUCCGAAGUCGCGAGGCGGAGGCAACCCCAGAAAUCCGUUCUCAGUUCAGAUCGCAGGCUGCAACUCGCCUGCGUGAAGUCGGAAUCGCUAGUAACCGCAGAUCAGCUAAGCUGCGGUGAAUACGUUCCCGGGCCUU
rnacentral:rRNA from 1 species